rnacentral:misc_RNA from 1 species
GAUGAAGAACGUAGCGAAAUGCGAUAAGUAAUGUGAAUUGCAGAAUUCCGUGAAUCAUCGAAUCUUUGAACGCACAUUGCGCCCCCUGGUAUUCCGGGGGGCAUGCCUGUCCGAGCGUCAUUGCAACCCUCAAGCGCGGCUUGUGUGUUGGGCUUCGUCCCCCCGUGGACGUGCCCGAAAGGCAGUGGCGGCGUCCCGAAUGGUGCCCGAGCGUAUGGGAACUCUCUUCCGCUCGAACCGGCCCAUUCGGCGCUGGUCGAACCCCAAUUUUUUACCGGUUGACCUCGGAUCAGGUAGGGAUACCCGCUGAACUUAAGCAUAUCAUAAGCGGAGGA